rnacentral:tRNA from 1 species
UGUAAGUCAGUUUAAGUAGAAUUUUUGUUUUUGGUGCAAAUGGUUAUCUUACAU